UGUAUUAGCCAGCAACCACACACACGCAAAUACAACGUUUACUAAUAAGCAUUGAAUGCAAGUUUUUGGGGUUUAAGCGGCGUGGAGUUUCUAAGAGACUUUUAGUGCUUAUUUGAACGCGUACUGUAACACGCGAAAGAAACACAGUACGUACGUACAGUUAAAAUGUCUGCGAUAAUUAUUAAAAUUUGUCGUGUGUGAUAAUGCAUUCAUCUACCUGUGUGUCGAAUGCCAUUAAAAUGGUCAGUGAUAACACAAGUGUCAUGAAAGCGCUACUCGGCAAACACAACGCAAAGUGGAACUUAGUGUAAUGUACUUUUCUGCCGGAUGAAGCUCAUGAACGGCACCAAAGAAGGCACCGCAUAUUACCCAAUGACUGCAUUCCAAGUGAUUGAUGGUUACGACACAAAGUAUCUUGUAUAAAAGUUAAUACAAUAAAUUAGAUGACUGGGACCCAGCGAUGCACAUAUAUACAUUGCCAUACGUUUGUUGAGACACGAUUCAAAACUGCCAUCGCUAUUACUUCAGUGCAAAUAUGGCGCUCCGAACUGGAACCGUCAAAUGGUAUUAUCAUCGUUAAAACAGCUAACUAAGUAGUAGUAUUAAUAUAUGCCUAAUGAUAUAAUUAAAGAUUAAUUUGUA
rnacentral:lncRNA from 1 species